AAGGGAGCGUAGGCGGCUGAUUAAGUCAGCGGUGAAAGGUAGCAGCUUAACUGUUUUACAUGCCGUUGAUACUGGUUAGCUUGAGUUGACAGAAGGCAGAUAGAAUUCCUGGUGUAGCGGUGAAAUGCUUAGAUACCAGGAGGAAUACCGAUUGCGAAGGCAGUCUGCUGCAGUCACACUGACGCUGAGGCUCGAAGGUGCGGGGAUCAAACAGGAUUAGAUACUCUUGU
rnacentral:rRNA from 1 species